UACGUAGGCAGCAAGCGUUGUUCGGAAUUACUGGGCGUAAAGGGUGCGUAGGUGGUUCGGCAAGUCUUGUGUGAAAUCUUCAGGCUCAACUUGAAGUCUGCACAAGAAACUGCCGGGCUUGAGUAUGGGAGAGGUGAGUGGAAUUUCCGGUGUAGCGGUGAAAUGCGUAGAUAUCGGAAGGAACACCUGUGGCGAAAGCGGCUCACUGGACCAUUACUGACACUGAGGCACGAAAGCUAGGGGAGCAAACAGG
rnacentral:rRNA from 1 species